CACUACACCCGGGAAGACAAUCGAAGGCAUCUUUUGAUGAUACAACAGAUGCUAAAUGUCUUACUCUGUUUAUCUACUAGAGCGAACGAGCUCUUGUUCUUCUUCUAGGACCAUAAAACAGAAGAAAAAAUGGUGGAAUACAUCAAGUGUGUACUCUGAUACACAUAUCUUCAAUAAUUUCCAUAUUUCCUUCUUUCAUUGGCUUCUUCGUCACAAGAAUCUAUGACAAAAUUUGGGGCAAUUUUUCUGGUAAAGCAGAGUGGUUGAGUUCCAUGAUGCUUUUAAGUUUAGGGGCGUAGAGGGAAUAGACUACGGCCUGUCUUUUGGCGACUUAUAGCUGGGACUUGCCAUCGGCGAAGGCCGUACAGAUUGACGAUGGGUCGGAGAUGUCCUUGUUGUGGCGA
rnacentral:lncRNA from 1 species